AGAGACAGCAGUAGCCGCGGGAAUACGAAGGGGGCUAGCGUUGCUCGGAAUGACUGGGCGUAAAGGGCGCGUAGGCGGCGGCCAAAGUCAGGCGUGAAAUUCCCGGGCUCAACCUGGGGGCUGCGUUUGAUACUUGGUUGCUUGAGUGGGGAAGAGGGUCGUGGAAUUCCCAGUGUAGAGGUGAAAUUCGUAGAUAUUGGGAAGAACACCGGUGGCGAAGGCGGCGACCUGGUCCUUUACUGACGCUGAGGCGCGAAAGCGUGGGGAGCAAACAGGAUUAGAGACCCCAGUAGUCCCUGUCUCUUAUAC
rnacentral:rRNA from 1 species